rnacentral:rRNA from 1 species
CCUACGGGAGGCAGCAGUGAGGAAUAUUGGUCAAUGGACGAGAGUCUGAACCAGCCAAGUAGCGUGAAGGAUGACUGCCCUAUGGGUUGUAAACUUCUUUUAUAAAGGAAUAAAACGAGGCACGUGUGCCUUUUUGCAUGUACUUUAUGAAUAAGGAUCGGCUAACUCCGUGCCAGCAGCCGCGGUAAUACGGAGGAUCCGAGCGUUAUCCGGAUUUAUUGGGUUUAAAGGGAGCGUAGAUGGGUUGUUAAGUCAGUUGUGAAAGUUUGCGGCUCAACCGUAAAAUUGCAAUUGAUACUGGAAGUCUAGAGUACAGUAGAGUUGGGCGGAAGUCUCGGUGUAGCAGGGAAAGGAG